rnacentral:piRNA from 1 species
UCNCAGAUGAUGGUCCAGCCUCGAGCUAUGU